CUGUAAUCAAAUAGUUAAUCUUAGAAUCUUCACUCUCAGCAAGAGUGUAACAAAGAAACUAGCGGAGCUAAUGUCUGUGAUCAGUGAAGCCUACAGUCGAACGCCGUGCGUCCGAUCUUCAUGGCGUCUCUAACUUUCAGCAGAUAUCCAAAGGUAAGAAACUGCGUAAAAUCAAGGAUUAUAUUAAUAUUUUUAACCGAUUAGUCAUUGACUUCAAGGCGUUCUUAAUUUCAUUCAUAUUUUUUCUUGCGUAAUCGAAACCGUCAACGAAAAAUGUCAACAAUGUGAAAAUGCGCACGUCGAUAAAAAAACGAGGACUCUCAGGAAGGUGGAAAAGGAGGCUGGGAAAAUUGUGACAGAAAGUAUCAGAGAAGCGAGAGCGUUCCAUUCAUACAAGAACGAGGUAUUUAUUAUGCAGCCAGCAGUUAAGCCUACACGCGUGUAAUAUAAAAGGAGAUAUUAUGCCACUAACAUCGAUGCUCUGACGCUACCUGAAAAGAGGAGGGUGACGACAUCGCACUGUCAAGAAUAUCAAGUAACUCGCCGAUACUCUAAAACGUACGAUAUACUAUAUUCUAUCAGCUGAUCUCGUACACGGGAAACCAAUAUCUCCUUUGACGCAAUCAAAAAUUGAUUGAUGAAAAUCAGUAUUGAUAUUCAAAAUCAGACAAAUGCGACGAACUUUUCCAUUUGUCCUGGAUAUAUGAUACGUCGUAAUGUAGGUAAUAAAAGUUAAUUAAUGCGACACUA